rnacentral:rRNA from 1 species
GACGAACGCUGGCGGCGUGCCUAAUACAUGCAAGUUGAGCGAUGAAGAUUGGUGCUUGCACCAAUUUGAAGAGCAGCGAACGGGUGAGUAACGCGUGGGGAAUCUGCCUUUGAGCGGGGGACAACAUUUGGAAACGAAUGCUAAUACCGCAUAACAACUUUAAACAUAAGUUUUAAGUUUGAAAGAUGCAAUUGCAUCACUCAGAGAUGAUCCCGCGUUGUAUUAGCUAGUGGGUGAGGUAAAGGCUCGCCAAGGCGAUGAUACAUAGCCGACCUGAGAGGGUGAUCGGCCACAUUGGGACUGAGACACGGCCCAAACUCCUACGGGAGGCAGCAGUAGGGAAUCUUCGGCAAUGGACGAAAGUCUGACCGAGCAACGCCGCGUGAGUGAAGAAGGUUUUCGGAUCGUAAAACUCUGUUGGUAGAGAAGAACGUUGGUGAGAGUGGAAAGCUCAUCAAGUGACGGUAACUACCCAGAAAGGGACGGCUAACUACGUG